UACAGAGGUCUCAAGCGUUGUUCGGAUUCAUUGGGCGUAAAGGGCGCGUAGGCUGCGGGGCAAGUCGGGGUGUGAAAUCUCAGAGCUCAACUCUGAAACUGCACUCGAUACUGCUUUGCUCGAGGACUGGAGAGGAGAUUGGAAUUCACGGUGUAGCAGUGAAAUGCGUAGAUAUCGUGAGGAAGACCAGUGGCGAAGGCGGAUCUCUGGACAGUUCCUGACGCUGAGGCGCGAAGGCCAGGGGAGCAAACGGG
rnacentral:rRNA from 1 species